GCAUUUCAUUAUGACUUACAUUGAUAUAUGUUUGUUGUGUAUAUAUAUAUUUGUAGUGGGCGGUAAAGACUCGGAAAGGAUAUACCCAACAACAACUUGACGAGGUGCGCAUGGAGGUGGCCGACUACUUGCAGACCUUGUUGUAGAUUCUGACUAGGAUGGGGAUUUUGAGAUGAGGAUUUUGAGUCAGGCUACAUAGCUUUUGGUUCACUUUUUUUGUAGUAGAUGAAGUGAAUGCAGCAAUUAUGAACAAAAUUGCUGUAUAUAGGCAUUGUUAGGCUAGCUUUGUAGUAGGUUAAUUGGGGUUUUGUUUUGCCUGUUUUGUG
rnacentral:lncRNA from 1 species